rnacentral:rRNA from 1 species
CGGACUGUAGUCUGCAACCCGACUACACGAAGCUGGAAUCGCUAGUAAUCGCGGAUCAGAAUGUCGCGGUGAGUACGUUCCCGGGUCUUGUACACACCGCCCGUCACACCAUGGGAGUCGGGAAUGCCCGAAGUCAGUGACCCAACCUAUUGGAGGGAGCUGCCGAAGGCAGGUCUGAUAACUGGGGUGAAGUCGUAACAAGGUACC